UCUUAUGGAUGAGUAAAUCAAGUGGUUUAUUGAGAUGAAACCUACUUCAAGUGAAAAUACUAUGAA
rnacentral:pre_miRNA from 1 species